AAAGAGAACCGUGGAACCCAGCAACUAGUGUUCAGCUCAAUUAGGGCGAACUUGGGCACUUAGCCGUGCAGGAACAAUGGUGAGCCUUUAGCCCUAUCUGGAGUGGCAAUGGAUGCCUUGCUAGAUCAGGAGCGCAGUGGACACCCUGCCAGAUCCAGAGGGGCGGAAGUCAGUGGCGGGUCUGUGACGGCAGCAAAUAGCAGUGGUGAAUGGCGAGCAAAAGCUCAGCUCAAGUCUUAACAAACAUGGACCAGAAGAGAGUGCAGUUGCAAGAUUUAAUAGAGUGAAAACAGAGCUCCCAUACAAUGAGAGGGGACCAAAAAGGGGUUUCCGUUGCCGCCAGAAUGCCUGGGUUUAUAUCCCAAUCAUUGUCCCUCCCCCUGUGCUCUCAGGCAAUAGAUGAUUGGCUAUUUCUUUACCUCCUGUUUGUGCCUAAUUAGCAUUUUAGUGAGCUCUCUUUACUACCUGACUGGUCAGGUGUGAGUUAAGUUGCAAACCCCGUGUUUAAAGGUGGAUGCAGUCAUCUUCCCAGCUAGGCUUAGGGAUUCUUAGUCAGCCUAGGAAAUCCAGCUAGUCCUGUCUCUCACUAGCAAUAAAGAAUAAAAUGGGUUGGAAAUGUGAGGUGAGCAGAGUUUAGGCACAGCCAUUGACUACUAUAAGAUGGUUUAGUUGCUCUGACUUCAAGUGAGGACUCUGAAUAGUGAAGUAGAACUAAUAUUGAAAAAGGAAGAAAUAGAUGAACAGUUGUGAUUCAGAAAUAACUGAUAAGACUUACUAACUACUUAUGUUUGUUGGUAAUGUGAUAAGAAACAGUCAAGGAUGACUCCAAUGCAUUGAAACUUGAGUGACAGGUGCAGUGUCAUAGUGCAGAGAGAAAAGAUAAAUUUGGAGGAUUAGGCAAGUUAGAAGAAAGAAGAUGAGUUCAUUUUUGCUGUAUGUAGUAUGAAUCUACAACAGUGUUGCCCAGGGAUGUGGUACCUUGGCACACAGGCAACAAGUGAAGGUCAUAUAUUUAGCUUUUAAAAAUAUAUAAUCAGCCUAUUAUCUUGAAUCAUUUUAGAAAUAUAAUAAAUGAUUGCCUAAUGAAAAAAAAAACUGAACAGAUGACUGAAAUCUCCAAGGAAGCAUGUAUAGACUUUCAUGAGAAGAAAACUGAAAAUUGAUUUUUGGUGGAGGAAGGACAAGGAUGCUAUUUCCUGCAAGAGAAGACAAAUCUGCGUAAGAGAAGGGGCCAUAAGACAUGAGAAUGUAGUGCUGGCUUGUAUACUGUGGGUUGAAGUGAAUUGAACAAAACCAUCUGAGGGUUGUUCAGAAGAUAGACGGGAAGAUGGUUUCAGAAAAGUUUCUGUGACCAAAGUUAAUAUAGGAAAUUCCUCUGAUGUUCUUUGAGAAGCAAACGUAAAUAAUUGGAUGUUUCUUAAAAUACGUUUGGCUGGCAAACUGUGUUUCUUCAAAAUAACAUCAUUCCGGGGUUGAGUCAUCCUUUUGGUUUUUUGGGGUAAUAUGUUAGAGGGCUACCAUCCAGGAUUUUGCAUUUCAGCUCCAGCACCCAGCCAUACUCAGUCAGGAUGAAAGUCAUCACUAAAAAUGUGAGUCAAAAGUGUAUUUUCAUCCUUACUGCCAAGCUGUUGGAACAAUGGAACUGAUGAGGAAGAGUCCAUCAAAUCAGGAAUUAUACAGGAACGCUGAAGAGUUUUCAAGAGGAUGAUAUCCUAGUAAGAUUUUCAUCAUUUGAAAGAAGACUCUAUUCAAUUAUCAAAUUUUUCACAAGAAACACAAACCUAUGCAUGAUCUCUAGCUUGAGCAAAACUCAGCAAAGUACCUAUCCAUCAUGACAUACCAAUUUGGAGCUUGUGAUUUGUUUUGUUUUAUUUUUCUCCUAACUGCCACAGAUACCAAUUGAUAUCACAUGAAUAUCGAGAGAAGUUAUGUCCUACCUGAAUUGUUUAAGACAUUUGUUUUUGCUUCCAUGAUCAAAAUUGCAUGAUCCAUCAGACAGACUCUGGAACGAUGAUGGUACAGGUUACCUGUACACUUAAAGUUAAGACUUCAAUGAUAGAAAGUAGGCCAAGAGUUGAAACACAACCCGAUACCACAGGAAUAUACCAAAUUGUAUUAUUAACAAAUGUAUUCCUCCCCACCCCCACAUCUGUGGAAUGGAGAAAACUUCUGUCUGCUUACUUUGGAUUUGGUUGGGUACUUGCUCUGAGAAAUGGAAUGUGGACAACAGUUACCUUGUGUCAGCUCUGAGUGGAGAUGUUGAGGGACAUCCAUGUGUCUUCUGGAUCUCCUGCAGCCCUGCUGAGAUGAGCACAGCCAAGUAGGUGGUCCCAGAAGAAGAACAGCUGAGCCCCACUUAAAACCUGGAGAAUGACUGAGAUAGCCUACAUACAAAGUUAUGAAUAAAAAACAACAAUAGUUUUAUUGCAGGUAUUAAGUUACUUCCAAAAACCCCAAAAAGUUGUCUAAUCCAUAAGACAAUGAUAAAGAGGGUUAGAGAUAAAGAAAUGUCAUUGAUUAUGUAUAAAACAUUUAAGGGACCAUAUAGCCAAUAUUUCUUUGAAGAAUACUGAAAUGAAUGUAUGAUAGUGAUGGGGUUCUUACACCAAAAUUAAAAAAUAAAUCUGUAUCAUAGCAAUGAGGGU